UUGACUCGUUGUGUAUCUGCUUCGACCUCACCACAAUCCUGAAAGACCCACAUCUCUCUCUCAAAGACCCACAUCUCUCUCUCUCUCUCUCUCUCUCUCUUACUGUUCACUCUGGUAUUCAAAGAACAGCACUCACCCAGUCCGUUGUCUUUUCUGCUAUCUUUUUCCAUUGUAUAUUCCGUUUGGUUCCCGAGAAACUGUAGCAAAAGAGAACCAAAUGGAGCAUGAUUUUGCAUUAUAUAUUCCUUUUAUCUCGUGUGAUAUGUUAGGACUCUGGAGUGUUCUUUCUAGUUUUGGGCAACCCGGAAGUGGAAUUUUUGUUUUGUCUUGGGAUUGAGAUGGCAUAUGAUAUGAUCAAUGUUGUUGAGUGUCUUUAGUUUUAGUUCUGUCCUCUGGGCAAUUUGCAUCAUUGCAUAGUUUCUGCGACUUUGAUUCUAUUCCAUGAUGGAGUCUUGGAGUUGCAGUUCAGAAGGGAAAGGCCUUUUGUUUCAUGAUGAAAUGGAGUUACAAAUUGACUCUUUUGCUAGAAGUAAAAAGGCAUUAAUGGAAUGGGACAAUAAACCCACUUAUUAUUUUGAAAGCAGUGGACUUGUUUCUGAUAGAGAAGCGGUUGAGGGCAUGGAAGUCUUGGAUUUGGGAUUCUCUGACUUGGUGAGAAAACCUUUUCAUGGUAACCAAGGAGUGGAGAUGUUAAGUGGUGAUGUUGGUAGUGGUUCUAGUAAAAGAGCAGUUACUCCUACAUGUAUUGUUACUUCAAAUUCAUGUUUUGAGGAAAUGGCUUCUGAAGCAAAGCUUUCAAGUUCUCCCAUGGAAGCCAACAGUCAAGAUUCAUCACUGAUUGAUUUGAAGCUGGGGACAUUGGCUGAUUGCAAAGACGCAGAGAAUAUCAAGGUAUUGAAAGAGAAUCCGAUUUUGUCAUCUGUAAGUCCAUCCUUGCCACGAAAGAGAGCGCGCAAAGCAAGUUCGUACUCUCAGACUGCCUUCUGCCAAGUCCAUGGUUGUAACAAGGAUUUGAGCUCCUCAAAGGAUUACCACAAAAGGCAUAAAGUUUGUGAUGUUCACUCCAAGACUGCCAAAGUUAUUGUUAACGGAAUUGAACAAAGGUUUUGUCAACAGUGUAGCAGGUUUCAUCUGCUGGUUGAAUUUGAUGAUGGUAAGCGAAGUUGUCGUAAACGCCUAGCAGGCCACAAUGAACGUCGAAGGAAGCCUCAAUUAGAUACCCUUUCUGGCACUAGAUACUUGGAUACUUCCUUCCCAAAGAGGACACCCUAUGUUUUCCAAGACAUAUUUCGAGCUGGCAUUAUUUGUCCAGAAAAAAAUGAACAAGCUAAUUGGUCUAGACAUACCAAAUUAGAAGGGGAGUCAAUUUACAGUCCUCAAUCAGCAAUAGCUAGCACAAGUGGGCAUUUGCUUCCGAAAUCUUUUCUCCAUCUCCAUGGCAUUGGGAAACAUCAUUGUUCUGGAGUUCCUUCAUCAGGACCUGAAGACUUUACUUUUACUGCAUCAACCGUUCAGGAAUUACCUGGGGCCUCAAUUUCCAGUUGUGCUCUCUCUCUUCUGUCAGCUCAAUCACAGGACUUGUCAAGCCAUUCGACAGGACGUCCAAUGUCUAGUCCCCAAAUCAUGCAAGGUCGCUCUGCCCAUCAUGUUCUUGGUCAAACUGAUAAACCUGUGAGGGUAAGCUCUGUGGAACAAUACGGGUCAAAUGGACUCUACUCGUAUGGGAUGAGCUCUAUGGAAGUUGAUAGGAUAGGAUCAAUAAUGCCUUCUGAUGCUAGUCAUGCUGGUGAUUUUCAAGUUCACACCAAUGAAAUUUUUCAAGAUUCGGAUAUUUUGAAUGCCAACUAUUUUCCUUCUACCGAAGAUGGACCCACCGUUGAUUGGCUUCAAUUGUCAUCACAUCUUCAAAGAGUGGAGCGACAGAGAAAUUCUAUUCAAGUAAAGCAGGAAAAUGGUGACUCUUGCUAUUUCCCAACCUUUAGAGCAGUGUGCAACCAGCAAGUUGCAGCAAACUGAAGACAAAAACAAGACUAUCAAAUAUCAAUAGAGCUUUUUAGCAUCGUCAAUGAUAUUAAGAGUUAACUGGAGGCAGUUGGAGUUAUGCUGCAUGCAUCAGACCAAACUAACUUCAUUGGUACUGUUUCAAAGGUGGAUAGAGAAACUUCAGAGAUACCAUUAGUAGGAAAAUUCCUUUUUCCAAAAGGUAAAUAAGAAACGAUUUUGUGGCUUUUGCUACUGUAAAGUGGUGUAAGAUUGAUUCUGUAAGUUCCUCUUAACUCCCUUUAUCUACAAAAUAUUAUGCUAAUCCAAGGAUUUUAACUAUUGAAUGAAACAAAAUCACUCUUAUCACUGGA